CGAACGCUGGCGGCAUGCCUAACACAUGCAAGUCGAACGAGACCUUCGGGUCUAGUGGCGCACGGGUGCGUAACGCGUGGGAACCUGCCCUUAGGUUCGGAAUAACCCUCCGAAAGGGGUGCUAAUACCGGAUAAUGUCUUCGGACCAAAGAUUUAUCGCCUUUGGAUGGGCCCGCGUUGGAUUAGCUAGUUUGUAGGGUAAAAUCCUACCAAGGCGACGAUCCAUAGAUGGUCUGAGAGGAUGAUCAGCCACACUGGGACUGAGACACGGCCCAGACUCCUACGGGAAGCAGCAGUGGGGAAUAUUGGACAAUGGGCGGAAGCCUGAUCCAGCAAUGACGCGAGAGUGAUGAAGGCCUUAGGGUUGUAAAGCGCUUUUACCCGGGAUGAUAAUGACAGUACCGGGAGAAUAAGCUCCGGCUAACUCCGUG
rnacentral:rRNA from 1 species